rnacentral:tRNA from 1 species
GCGCUCGUAGCUCAGCUGGAUAGAGCACCAGACUACGAAUCUGGGGGUCAGGGGUUCGAAUCCUCUCGAGCGCG